UACGUAGGAGGCAAGCGUUGUCCGGAAUUACUGGGCGUAAAGUGCGUGUAGGUGGUGGGACAAGUCUGCUGUGAAAGCGCCUGGCUUAACCGGGCGAGGUCGGCGGAAACUGUUUCACUUGAGUUCGGCAGGGGAGACUGGAAUUCCUGGUGUAGCGGUGAAAUGCGCAGAUAUCAGGAGGAACACCGGUGGCGAAGGCGGGUCUC
rnacentral:rRNA from 1 species